rnacentral:rRNA from 1 species
AUUGAACGCUGGCGGCAGGCCUAACACAUGCAAGUCGAGCGAGCGGCGGACGGGUGAGUAAUGUAUGGGGACUGCCCGAUAGAUGGGGAUAACUACUGGAAACGGUGGCUAAUCCCGCAUACUAUCGGAUACCCCAUAUGGGAUUAGCUAGUAGGUGGGGUAAAGGCUCACCUAGGCGACGAUCUCUAGCUGGUCUGAGAGGAUGAGCAGCCAACAUGGGACUGAGAAACGGCCCAGACUCCUAGGGAGGCAGCAGUGGGGAAUAGUGCGCAAUGGGGGGAACCCUGACGCAGCCAAGGCGCGUGAAUGAAGAAGGGCUUCGGGUUGGAAAGUUCUUUCCGGAGCGAGGCGGUAACUACAGAAGAAGCACCGGCUAACUCCGGUGCAGCAGCCGCGGUAAUAC